rnacentral:lncRNA from 1 species
AAAAAAGCAACCUAAUGGUAGCCAUCUCAAAUGCACGUUUUUUUAGUCUUGAAAAGCCUCCUUUUAUGGAAAAUCCGAGCAACAAAAUGGGCCACUUGAUACAAACAUGAUAGGACUUGGUAAAAUCAUUGGGCUGAUAAAGGGUUCCACCACAAAUUAAUGAUAGAUCUUCCCUACCAAUCAACCGAAGGGUCUCUUCUAAUCGAUUAAUAUACCGACUUUCUGCAGUUCAUAAUGCAAUGAUGUACACUACAGCAUUUAUCAGGGAAGAAAAAAACGAAAAGAUGAUGAUGAUGAUGAUUCAUAUCGCACAGGCAGCUGGGACGGCCUCAUAGGUAUAAGAACCCUUUUGCAGACAAUUCUCUUGUGUAUAUUUAGAUUUAUGUGCUAAUAAUCUUAGUGCGGAGAUUUGGAAAAGAUUUGUUUGUUUCUUUAUUUGCCCAUGAAGAUUCUUGCCUUUGCUUCUUACAACUCUGUUUUAUUUUCAUGAAUUAACGUAAACCAGGUUUCGAUUGGUCUAGUUGAUAAAGUGAUUUGAUGUCUUCUCAAGGGAUUUUGGAUCCAAUUACCCUCAUAAUUAAGGCUUGUUAUUAAAAAGAAAGUGGUAGCUAGUAUUAACCACCAUCAUGUAACAUAAACUUAAGAAUAAGAAAGAAGAACAAUGGAAGAAUUAUGCACACCAAAUUUCAAUUUGAUGAAAUGUUGAUAUGUUUGUGCCUGACGAUUUGGUCUUUGUUAAAGGGUAAGCUGACAUCAAACAACAGGCUUGUUAACUGGGAACAGUUAGGGUAGGGAAGUGGUUGCCAGUCUAGGCACAGGCUAGCAGGAUUGUCAGGAUAGAUAGAGUGCGAGAGACUCAGAGAGAGGCUUGGAGCGAGGUAUAUUUCUGAUUUUAACCUGGAAAAUGCACAUUUCCUGAUCAUUUAGAGAGCGAGGCGAGACAGUUUGAGUGAUUAAACAUACAUUUUAGGAUGCAUAAAGGCUAGGCAGCAAAUCAUAGAAGAUAAACAAGCAACAUAAAUAGAAGGUGAUUAGGUGAACAUAGGAACCAGGAGGAUCUUCCAUUCAUUGAACCUCAAUUCAUUUGUUUUGAGUUACAUUAACUUCUGCUGAAGAUGAAUGUUUGGACAGUUUAGAUGCUAGUUCAUGCAUGUACGAAAUGAUCCUGUUAGUCAAUUGUCCACGAGCUUCAUCAUUAUGGAGAGACCAUGUCACCUUCUUUGCGAGUGGAUGAGGAGAUCGUGCGAAACAUUGGUCUCUGCUAAAGAAAGAUGGCAUUGCCGGAGUGCUUGUUCUAUUUGCAAUGGCUCAUAACAUCAAGCUGCUCCGAUUUUCUGUCAUUAUGAUAAUCAUGAUCUGCCAUAAUAUGGAUUCACCAUCCUCACAACAGGUAGCAAAACUUCAAGUCACCAGAAAAUUCUUGGCAUGCAAACCCACCAGUACAUGCUAGUGAGAUCAGAUAUUUCCACAGAAGCAAUCCAAAUCAAGUAGAUGUACAGGGUAGACCCCAGUACCAACUCUUAGUAAAGAU